rnacentral:rRNA from 1 species
UUGACCUCGGAUCAGGUAGGGAUACCCGCUGAACUUAAGCAUAUCAAUAAGCGGAGGAAAAGAAACCAACAGGGAUUGCCUUAGUAACGGCGAGUGAAGCGGCAAUAGCUCAAAUUUGAAAGCUGGCCCCUUCGGGGUCCGCGUUGUAAUUUGUAGAGGAUGAUUCGGCGAGGGCUCCCGUCUAAGUCCCUUGGAACAGGGCGUCAUAGAGGGUGAGAAUCCCGUAUGUGAUGGGCUGCCUUAGCCAUGUGAAUCUCCUUCGACGAGUCGAGUUGUUUGGGAAUGCAGCUCUAAAUGGGAGGUAAAUUUCUUCUAAAGCUAAAUACCGGCCAGAGACCGAUAGCGCACAAGUAGAGUGAUCGAAAGAUGAAAAGCACUUUGGAAAGAGAGUUAAAAAGUACGUGAAAUUGUUGAAAGGGAAGCGCUUGCAGCCAGACUUGUCCGCAGUUGCUCAGCUUGUCUCCUGACAGGCGUACUCUUCUGCGGCCAGGCCAGCAUCAGUUCGGGCGGUCGGAUAAAGACCUGGGGAAUGUAGCUCCUCUCGGGGAGUGUUAUAGCCCUGGGUGCAAUGCGGCCAGCCUGGACUGAGGAUCUCGCUCGGCUAGGAUGCUGCG